GACUGAGUGGCUAAACUGAGACUCUAGAGCUAGACUCUUCUGAGUUCAAAUCUUAGCUCAGUCA
rnacentral:tRNA from 1 species